rnacentral:rRNA from 1 species
UUAAAGGGCAUAAAUAUCCUGAAGGCACCAGAUACUAUCUGAACUUAACAGCUAAGCAGGUUCAGCCCUAGUUAGUACUUGGAUGAGAGACCAAUAAACACUAGGUGCUGUGUAGG